rnacentral:hammerhead_ribozyme from 1 species
AUCCAGCUGACGAGUCCCAAAUAGGACGAGAAAUGGCAUCCUGGAU